rnacentral:rRNA from 1 species
ACUCCUACGGGAGGCAGCAGUGGGGAAUAUUGGACAAUGGGGGGAACCCUGAUCCAGCCAUGCCGCGUGUGUGAAGAAGGCCUUAUGGUUGUAAAGCACUUUAAGCGAGGAGGAGGCUACUGAGACUAAUACUCUUGGAUAGUGGACGUUACUCGCAGAAUAAGCACCGGCUAACUNCUGG